rnacentral:ncRNA from 1 species
CAGUUGCACACGGUUCCGGCACUGGCCCUCGGAGUGGGCCGGAACCCAUUUGGCCGGCCCUCAUAGGGCCGGCUUUUUUUU